rnacentral:antisense_RNA from 1 species
CUUGAUCGACCCCAGAUAGAGCGGUUCGCCCUCACGGCCCUGGCCGUAGGUGGCCAGCAGCGCCUGCGCCUC